rnacentral:rRNA from 1 species
GAUGAACGCUGGCGGCGUGCCUAAUGCAUGCAAGUCGAGCGAACGGACGAGAAGCUUGCUUCUCUGAUGUUAGCGGCGGACGGGUGAGUAACACGUGGAUAACCUACCUAUAAGACUGGGAUAACUUCGGGAAACCGUAGCUAAUACCGGAUAAUAUUUUGAACCGCAUGGUUCAAAAGUGAAAGACGGUCUUGCUGUCACUUAUAGAUGGAUCCGCGCUGCAUUAGCUAGUUGUUAAGGUAACGGCUUAUCAAGGCAACGAUGCAUAGACGACCUGAGAGGGGGAUCGGCCACACGAGAACUGAGACACGGUCCAGACUCCUACGGGAGGCAGCAGUAGGGAAUGUUCCGCAGUAGGCGAAAGCCUGACGGAGCAACGCCGCGUGAGUGAUGGAGGUCUUCGGAUCGUAAAGCUCUGUUAUUAGGGAAGAACAUAUGUGUAAGUAACUGUGCACAUCUUGACGGUACCUAAUAAGAAAGCCACGGCUAACUACGUG